CAGGGGCUCUAUGCCAGGGUUAACAGGUAACCCUGGCACUCCACGCUGGCCACCAAGCCAGCUUUUGACCUUGGUCAUGAUUCUGUUCUGGAAACUGGACCCAGGGAAGCUCCUGUGCCUCCUGCAGCUCUGUGCUUUAUUCCCUGUCACAGGUAUUGGCAUGCACUAGAUGAUGUCAUUGUGGACUCAUGUUGUCACCAGCAACGGUGAGGAGAAGAGCUCAAUCCUUGAAAGCCAGUGCCAUAUCCUGUGUAUUUUUUUCUAAAUGGGACUAUCUUAUUGUAAGUUAUUAUUACUAAAGUUUUAUGUACA
rnacentral:lncRNA from 1 species